rnacentral:lncRNA from 13 species
AUGGCCCUUCCCUUGGCCCAGAGGUGUGGGGAGAAGGCAAAUAUGCACACAGAUCUUAUCUCACCUUCAGGAAGGUCUGACCCCAUCUGGGUGUGCAAGAUAAACAGCUAUGCAAGUUCCAAAGCCAGGCCAAAAUGGAGACACAUGCCCAGGUGCACAGACGUGAAACUUUCACUCAUCAUUCAACUCCCAGACGGACCUCGGAGGCAGCAGUCUAAAGUGUGGCAGACUGAUAAAGAGCUGCCACCUGAAACACAGAAGGGGAGCUCGCUGGGUUUCAGACAAAGGUCAAUGUGGGGUGGCAUGGCAGCACGGAUUGGAGGCUGUCAGAUCAAAGAGAUGCCCCAGAGUGGCCUCAGGCUGCUAAGUGGCAUUCACUCUGCCUUCAGAGAUGAGUACAUCACGACUCAGACCCAUGGGAGGGCGUGGAGCUACCCGGCGACAAUGCAGUACAUGUGUGUGCAGAUGACAACUCACCAAGCCUCUGUCUUCAUUUCCUGUCUAUACUUGGCAGAUAGCCCAAUGCCUGGAACAGGUUUUGGGGUACCUGCGAAGGACAUGCAAGAUUGUUGCAUAGGUACACACAUGGCAGCGUGAUUUGCUGCCUUCCGCCCCUUCAAGGUGGAAAGACAUCUUCAAGACUUUGGGCAAAUAACUAUGUCUGAGCCUCAAUUUUCACCUACUAAAUAUUUCAUCAAUAAAAAAAUGAG